GGGGAUAUAUCUCAGUGGUAGAGUGCUUGCUUAGCAUAUGCAAGGCCCUGGGUUCAAUCCUCAGUACCACCA
rfam:Ictidomys tridecemlineatus contig035590, whole genome shotgun sequence.